AUUGAACGCUGGCGGCAGGCCUAACACAUGCAAGUCGAACGAGUGGCGGACGGGUGAGUAAUGUCUGGGAAACUGCCUGAUGGAGGGGGAUAACUACUGGAAACGGUAGCUAAUACCGCAUACCAUCGGAGGUGCCCAGAUGGGUUUAGCGAGUAGGUGGGGUAACGGCUCACCUUGGCGACGAGCCCUAGCUGGUCUGAGAGGAUGACCAGCCACACUGGAACUGAGACACGGUCCAGACUCCUACGGGAGGCAGCAGUUGGGAAUAUUGCACAAGGGGCGCAAGCCUGAUGCAGCCAUGCCGCGUGUAUGAAGAAGGCCUUCGGGUUGUAAAGUACUUUCAGCGGGGAGGCGUUACCCGCAGAAGAAGCACCGGCUAACUCCGUGCCAGCAGCCGCGGUAAUUC
rnacentral:rRNA from 1 species